rnacentral:rRNA from 1 species
AUUGAACGCUAGCGGGAUGCUUUACACAUGCAAGUCGAACGGCAGCGCGGACUUCGGUCUGGCGGCGAGUGGCGAACGGGUGAGUAAUGUAUCUGAACGUGCCCAGUAGCGGGGGAUAACUACGCGAAAGCGUAGCUAAUACCGCAUACGCCCUACGGGGGCAAGCAGGGGAUCGUAAGAACUUGCACUAUUGGAGCGGCCGAUAUCGGAUUAGCUAGUUGGUGAGGUAACGGCUCACCAAGGCGACGAUCCGUAGCUGGUUUGAGAGGACGACCAGCCACACUGGGACUGAGACACGGCCCAGACUCCUACGGGAGGCAGCAGUGGGGAAUUUUGGACAAUGGGGGCAACCCUGAUCCAGCCAUCCGGCGUGUGCGAUGAAGGCCUUCGGGUUGUAAAGCACUUUUGGCAGGAAAGAAACGUCGCGGGCUAAUACCCCGUGGAACUGACGGUACCUGCAGAAUAAGCACCGGCUAACUACGUG